GUGGAGGAUGAAGGCCUUGGUUGUAAACUCUUUUGUUGGGGAAGAAAUGCGAUCAGGUGAACAAUCUGGUCGUUUGACGGUACCCGACGAAUAAGCUCCGGCUAACUCCGUGCCAGCAGCCGCGGGUAACACGGGGGGGAGCAAGCGUUGUUCGGAAUCACUGGGCGUAAAGGGCGUGUAGGCGGUUGGGUAAGUGGGAUGUGAAAUGCCUCGGCUCACCCGAGGAUCGGCAUCCCAAACUGCCCGACUUGAGUAUGGGAGAGGAUGAGGGAAUUCCUGGUGUAGCGGUGAAAUGCGUAGAUAUCAGGAGGAACACCGGUGGCGAAGGCGCUCAUCUGGCCCAAUACUGACGCUGAGGCGCGAAAGCUAGGGGAGCAAACGGGAUUAGAUACCCCGGUAGUCCUAGCCGUAAACGGUGAUCACUAGGUGUUGGAGGCAUCGACCCCUCCAGUGCCGCAGCUAACGCAUUAAGUGAUCCGCCUGGGGAGUACGGCCGCAAGGUUG
rnacentral:rRNA from 1 species